rnacentral:tRNA from 1 species
UCCCUGGUGGCCUCGUGAUUAAGGACAUGGUAUUUUCACUGCUGUGGCUCAGGUUCAAUUCCUGGCCUGGGAA